AACUACUCUUGAACUUGUUGGGAUUUGAAAUUUCCUCAGGAAAUCAGAUUAGAGUACUACCUGGUGAAGCCUUGAGGACCUACCAAGAAAAGCAAACUUGGAUCUUUGCAAGGUUAGAAGAACGAAUGGGAUCCAAGAAAAAGACUGGUCAUAUUCAACGGCUAAGAGCGUUGGAGAAGGCCUGUGGAGUCUCAGCAGGUCAGGUCCAUGACUCAUGAGUAGACACCUGUGUUUCUACUGCCUGGUGCCAUAAUCAUAAACAAGGAAGAAACUGAGGACAGGAGGGGCCAAACAAGUUACAGUUUCAUCCCUCCAGAGAGCCAACAGAGUAUUUUGCACGAAGUUGAAGCUAAACAGGUAUUAUGUCCUGUCUCUGGACUGAAUGACUAGAUGCUACUCAGCUUCUGAACUAGAGGAAGCCUGGGACCUUGACCGCACUAAUGCUGAUG
rnacentral:lncRNA from 1 species